AUUGAACGCUGGCGGCAGGCCUAACACAUGCAAGUCGAACGGUAGCACAGAGAGCUUGCUCUCGGGUGACGAGUGGCGGACGGGUGAGUAACGUCUGGGAAACUGCCCGAUGGAGGGGGAUAACUACUGGAAACGGUAGCUAAUACCGCAUAACGUCGCAAGACCAAAGUGGGGGACCUUCGGGCCUCACACCAUCGGAUGUGCCCAGAUGGGAUUAGCUAGUAGGUGGGGUAAUGGCUCACCUAGGCGACGAUCCCUAGCUGGUCUGAGAGGAUGACCAGCCACACUGGAACUGAGACACGGUCCAGACUCCUACGGGAGGCAGCAGUGGGGAAUAUUGCACAAUGGGCGCAAGCCUGAUGCAGCCAUGCCGCGUGUAUGAAGAAGGCCUUCGGGUUGUAAAGCACUUUCAGCGGGGAGGAAGGCGGUGAAGUUAAUAACUUCACCGAUUGACGUUACCCGCAGAAGAAGCACCGGCUAACUACGUGCCAGCAGCCGCGGUAA
rnacentral:rRNA from 1 species